GGCUCAGGAUGAACGCUAGCGGCAGGCUUAACACAUGCAAGUCGAGGGGCAUCGGGAGUAGCAAUACUGCCGGCGACCGGCGCAAGGGUGCGUAACGCGUGAGCAACAUGCCCGUAUCAGGGGGAUAAUCCAUGGAAACGUGGUCUAAUACCCCAUAGUAAUUAUGUAAGGCAUCUUAUAUAAUUUAAAGCUUUGGUGGAUACGGAUUGGCUCGCGUGACAUUAGCUGGAUGGUAAGGUAACGGCUUACCAUGGCUACGAUGUCUAGGGGUUCUGAGAGGAAGGUCCCCCACACUGGAACUGAGACACGGUCCAGACUCCUACGGGAGGCAGCAGUGAGGAAUAUUGGACAAUGGAUGGAAAUCUGAUCCAGCCAUGCCGCGUGCAAGGAAGACGGCCCUAUGGGUUGUAAACUGCUUUUGUAUGGGAGCAAUAAGGGCUACGUGUAGUCCGAUGAGAGUACCAUACGAAUAAGCACCGGCUAACUCCGUGCCAGCCGCGGC
rnacentral:rRNA from 1 species